CAUAGGUUAAUGAGGCGAACCGGGGGAACUGAAACAUCUAAGUACCCCGAGGAAAAGAAAUCAACCGAGAUUCCCCCAGUAGCGGCGAGCGAACGGGGAGGAGCCCAGAGCCUGAAUCAGUGUGUGUGUUAGUGGAAGCGUCUGGAAAGGCGCGCGAUACAGGGUGACAGCCCCGUACACAAAAAUGCACAUGCUGUGAGCUCGAUGAGUAGGGCGGGACACGUGGUAUCCUGUCUGAAUAUGGGGGGACCAUCCUCCAAGGCUAAAUACUCCUGACUGACCGAUAGUGAACCAGUACCGUGAGGGAAAGGCGAAAAGAACCCCGGCGAGGGGAGUGAAAAAGAACCUGAAACCGUGUACGUACAAGCAGUGGGAGCACAGAGCAAUCUGUGUGACU
rnacentral:rRNA from 1 species